CCCAGGACAUCCCUGUGGAUAUACCUUCUGUGGAUCUUACGCCCAAAGUUGUCUAUCAAAAGUAAUGAGAAGUUUCCUGGUGAAGCAAAAGAAAUCAAGGAAGACCAGAUACAGGAAACACAAGGGAUGUAUCUACUAAGGAAAACAGUGUAGAGUUGAUUCAAGAUACACAUAGUCAUUUGACUUGGAUCUAUUGAAGGACUUCAAGGACGAAACAUUGUAAUCUGGCAGCAGCACAUCAUGGUGGCUUAUCUUGCUGAAAAGGUAGCACUGGGAAAAAACUGCCUUUCUGCAAUUGAAUAUGUUAAUGUCCAGAUGCUGCAUUUUUCCUGACUUAGCCUUCUUUUUUUUGGAAGGAGACUCACCAUCUGUGUUUGUACAGAAUCUUGCACACAAAAUCCUGAUGUUAGUACAUGCCUGGUAACACACACAUCAGAAGAUAGAAUCUCAUGGAGAAAGCUGCAUACCUGCUUGAACCGUAUGCAAUGAUGACGUGAUCCUGAGGGAGCAUGCCUGCACAGUAGCCAACUACUUGAAACCUGCAACAAACCCACAGCUGACUCUUCAUGGAAUUUAUAGCUUCCAGUCCCAGUAAAGGAUGGAGAAACCAUAGCGAGAGGACAAGACAAGACCUUGGGUUGAUUGUUUCUUAAUAUUUCUGUAUGUUCUCUACCAUGGAUGGCUUCAGUUAUUUUAUGUCACGAGUAUUGGUUUUGCUGUGCCAUAAACUCAAGACAAGAGCCAUAAUGCCUGUAUGCACUGCCAUAGCAUUGGGAGGCACCUGGUGUUAAUUGCGGUCACAGAGAAAGAUUUGAAUGGUCUUGAGACUGGAGUAACAGAAUGAUAGUAUGAAGUGCAAGAGUUUGAAAAAAGACAGUGUUACAUUCAAUAAUAAAAAGGGUGACUGAGUGAAUGGGUGACAAAGAUUGGAGAAUGCUACAGGGAGUGCAAUGCACCAGCAUGAGAAAACAGUAGAGGAGCCUGAUACGAUCCUGCAGUUUGUCCUCAGGAAAAUGUCCCUCAGGUUUUAGUGGAUCAGUGUGCAUUGUGACCCUGGAAAACUCAGGGGGACCAAAACCAAAAACUGGUCAGAAAACUGGAAGGAAAAAUAUCGUGACACAGCAUUCCAAUGUGUUUAUGAAGAGACCACACUCCCAGCCCCCCUUACCAUGGCAAAUUGUUUUUAUCCUGAAUGUGCUGAUUAGCAGGCUGCUUUGUGAUCAGAAGACAUCUCCGUUGCUGUUUGAUGGGCAGAGGUUUUUAACCUGUACAACUCAUGAUUGCAAACCAAAAUGCAUGCCAUGGUGUUGCAGAAGCCUGGAAGAUACGGGGAUAUAUCUCAAACAUGGUUAACUGGAUAGCUGUGGGGCCAACCAAGGAUUGUUGGUAAGAACAUGCUGUGAGAAAGAACAGGAUGUGGCUGCAGAAGGAGACAUACACAGCAAGGGCAGAACUUACGCAGCAAAUGUCCUUGUUCUGGCUCCUGGAGAUAAGCACAACACAGCACAGCACAGCAGGAAUGAGGCCAUAAUGUGGCCAUGGACUGUAGGGGGGAUCAGGACCACCCAAGACCCCCAAAGCCCCUGACCCAUUUCCAGAAAGGUCUGAAAGAGUGAACUGCUCAUGAGAACUGAUUUGCAUAGAAAGAGAGAAAUUUAUCUCCAGGGUAGGGAAAACUUAUCUGUAAAAAGGCACCACCACCAAUCUGGGUGUA